AUAUCAGGGGUGGCGACCGUCGGUCCUGGAGAUCCGCAGCCCUGCAGAGUUUUGCUUCAACCCUAAUCAAACACACAUGAACAAGCUAAUCAAGGUCUGAAGGGUUAACUAGGAAGCCACAGGCAGGUGGGUUUUAAUUAGAGUUGGAGCUGAACUCUGCAGGGCUGCGGCUCUCCAGGACCGGAGUUCGACACCCCUGUCUUAUAUCAUAUUGUCAUGGGGAUGGACAUUCUUUCCCCUUGAGAUGGCAGAUGUCAUCUCACAGUCAUUCAGUGAUGAAUGGAAAUGGACAUUAUGCCAUGGAAGGAAGUGUGGUCUCACCUGAGGGGGUCUCUGUUACCAAAGCAGUGGAUGACUAGCAGUAAUGAAAUAAGGUAGGAGAGAUGAUUGUUCUGCUUUUCAAGGACACCUCCAAAGCAGCAGCAUUCAAGUAUUCAAAUUGUUAUAUAAUAUAAACUGUUCUUUGUAUUUGUAGGUUGACAGAAUGUGUCAUGUGACAUUGUCACAGCGAGUCUCUCAACUGGGGCGAUUUUAGAAAGAUCUCAAUCAUAGGUUAAGCUUACAGGAGUGGCGGGAGGCCCUCAGGGAGACAACUGCCUGCAUGCUCAGUUUUCACCUGAAACACUUCCU